rnacentral:tRNA from 1 species
GGGGUUCUGGCUCAAAGGUAGAGUGCUUGCCUAGCAUUCGUGAGGAACUGGGUUCAAUCCUAGGAACCACA